rnacentral:rRNA from 1 species
CACGAACCGUACGAACGUUAUUCGGAAUUACUGGGCUUAAAGGGUUUGUAGGCGGCCUUGUAAGUCAGGUGUGAAAUCCCUCGGCUCAACCGAGGAAUGGCGCUUGAUACUGCACGGCUUGAGGGAGACAGGGGUAAGCGGAACUGAUGGUGGAGCGGUGAAAUGCGUUGAUAUCAUCAGGAACACCGGUGGCGAAAGCGGCUUACUGGGUCUCUUCUGACGCUGAGGAACGAAAGCUAGGGUAGCGAACGGG